rnacentral:tRNA from 1 species
UUUUUUGUAAUAUAAGUAUUAUAGUUACCUUCCAAGUAAAAAAUCUCAAAAGAGCUUAAAAGUA